UACACACUCAUAUAUAGACACACACACGAUGACUGAUGCCUUCUCUUUGCCGUUUUCCCAGCUUCUUUCUCGCUCUUCCUCUGCACCACAGAGACUUUUGAUUGUUUGUCCUCUGGGUGUAGCGUAUGGUGGAACCGGUUCUGCACAGCUCCAGCACAUGCUGUCCCAGCCACAAACUGAGCAGCAGCAGCAGCAGCAGCAGCAGUAGUGGCGACUGUGGCGGCGGCGGCAUUGGAUCAGCCUGCUUCUCACUUUGCUGCCUGUGACUUUAACGGCUGCCUCUUCUUUCCCUCCUGUGCUUUUCCUCACGGUGUUGUUUUCCUUUGUCCGCAAGACAUAUUUCCCCCUUCGCAAAGUACCCGAGCGUGGAAGGGGGCGAGGAAAAAUGAGAGAAAUGGUGUCUGAGGAAGAGGAGGUGAGGCAGCGGUGGAUAAAAAUGUGACGAGGCUGGAGUGACAUAGAGAUGCAAGGCUGCGAGUCAAGAGGGAACUCGAGAGUGAGGAGGAUGAGGGGACGAAGAGGAAGAAUCACGUUGGAAUCAAGAGAAAAAUGCGGGAAAAGUCGGCCUCCAGUUCAAAUACGAGGCACACCUGGCGCACGCUGACAAGGGAGUGAUCUCAAGCUCCCCGUGCGUCUGUGACAGCAGCCCUGCGGAGACAAAAAGGUGGAGCGCUGGAUAGAUGUUCGUCGGGCAGGUAGGUAGAGAGCAGAAUAAUGGAAUCAAUACUAUUGUCUGUAACCUACCUGCCGCUGGGCUCCCUGUCUGGCCCCAACAGAGACCAUCAGAGGGAGAGAGAGGGAGCUGGGAGAAUCACUCUGGCUGCGAGAGGAAAAGAAAAGAAGAGCGGAAGGUGAUUGUCUUUUUUCUUUCUUGUAUAUUUUUUUACUAACAAGGUGGAUGCAGAUCAAGGAAUGUGUGGGGUUUUUUUAAAAUGCAGGGGUUGCAUGCAUUUUUUUAAUCUGAAACUUUUUUUUCACCACUAAUUCAUCACAUCCUUUCACAGCAGUUCAACCAGUCAUGUCAUGCUGUACGUGCACGCAUGUGAGCGCUCUAGUAUAUAUAUAUUUGUAGUAUUUACGUGCCUUACUGUCUCUGCUUGCAUAAGCCUUUCAAUUAGUAUCAAGGCUGGAUGCUGUCGAGGUCAUGUCUCGUGGUUUGUUGUAGUUCGCCUUAUCCUUAAGCAACUUCUUUGUAAAAUUUCUCUCAUUAUGAUUACUAUUUUAAAACUAGCAGCUGUCCAGGAAUUUAACUGUUAUGACUGGUGAUAAUACAGCAUGCUUUUACACUGUCACUGAACUGACUGCGAUCAACAGAAAAUUUCUCUUCCUGCCCUGCUGUGUGAUUUGGCUCAGUUAAUUUCUGACAGUAUUUUAAACAACUUAAAUGCUGCCUAUACUGCAGACAAAUCCAUUAUUCAUUUCAGUUAUGACAAAUGUCUCCUUAUUCCCCCCCACCCCCCUACCGGUCUGUUCCAGCUGCCACAUCUGUCACAUGCGACAUUAACUACAACAAGCUUAAAAUUUCACCUCUGUGUUCAGAAAUCUCGAGGCCUGUUGGCUUAUGAAGUCAACCUGUAGGUAAAUGCAUAAUGUGAAUUAACGCAGUUCAGUUUGAUGCAGCGCGUGACGCAGACACAUUACACCUUCAUUCACAUUCACGCCGAGGUGUUGAUUGAAAAAUAAAAUAAAAACAUGCUUCCCCGAUAAAUGAGGCAGAUUUCCCUUUUCCCUCAACGUAUGGACAUAUUCAGUCUUCCCUAGUCGGUGUGUGUCAUUCUGUCUGUCUGCCAGUGGGUGGCAUUGCA